GACGAACGCUGGCGGCGCGCCUAACACAUGCAAGUCGAACGAGCGAGAGAGAGUUUACUUUUUCGAGCGAGUGGCGAACGGGUGAGUAACGCGUGAGGAACCUGCCUCAAAGAGGGGGACAACAGUUGGAAACGACUGCUAAUACCGCAUAAGCCCACGGCUCGGCAUCGAGCAGAGGGAAAAACUCCGGUGGUAUGAGAUGGACCCGCGUCUGAUUAGCUAGUUGGUGGGUAACGGCCUACCAAGGCGACGAUCAGUAGCCGACCUGAGAGGGUGACCGGCACAUUGGGACUGAGACACGGGCCCAAAACUCCUACGGGAGGCAGCAGUGGGGAAUAUUGCACAAUGGGGGAAACCCUGAUGCAGCGACGCGCGUGAGCGAAG
rnacentral:rRNA from 1 species